GUCUUUUUGAUUUUAAUUUAAAGUUUAACCUGCCCAUUGAAAAUUUUUAAAAGGCUGCGGUAUUUUGACUGUACAAAGGUAGCAUAAUCAUUAGUUUUUUAAUUGAAAACUUGUAUGAAUGGUUGGAUGAGAAAUUAACUUUUUUAAAAAAAUAAUUGAAUUUUACUUUUUAAUUAAAAGGUUAAAAUAAAUUUAAAAGACGAGAAGACCCUAUAGAGUUUUAUAAUUUAUAUUUAAUAUUUAAAAAGAUUAAUUAAAAUUUUAUAAAAGAAAAUAUUUUGUUGGGGUGAUAAUAAAAUUUAAAUAACUUUUAUUUUUUUUUUACAUUAAUAUAUGAAUUUAUGAUCCAUUAUUGAUGAUUAGAAAUUUAAAUUACCUUAGGGAUAACAGCGUAAUUUUUUUUUAAAGUUCAUAUUAAUAAAAAAUUUUGCGACCUCGAUGUUGGAUUAAGAUUUAAUUUUAGGUGCAGCAGUUUAAAUUUUAAGUCUGUUCGACUUUUAAAUUCUU
rnacentral:rRNA from 1 species